AAAUAAAGUAUAUUUAUUGCUCUUUCUUCCUCUUACAGAGAAAAACAACAUUUGUGUCCAUAGGUUGAAUGACCCACUCCACAAACACAACCCGAGACACAGGUAUGCAAGCAGAUAAAGGAUGGAAGAGUUGCAAAUAGUUAUUUCUCAACAAAUACAUAUCCUUGAUCCCAAAUACACAUAAGGAAGAACAAUAAAGUCAAAGAGUUGGGAGAAUUUCGUCAUGUCAGUGGAAGAGGAAAACUUCUCCGUUGCUUGUACACACCACUUCAGAUUUACAGUAGUUGGUUGCCUCUUCAAAUGUGACAGCUACUUGGUGAAUAUAAAUUUCAUCAGAAGUUCCUGCAGCACUUAAUUUGCAACCAUAAGUACUGCACGCCAUAGAGAUGUUUCUUAAUGAUGUGAAAAGUAAAUAUUCAAGGCAUCCUAAAUAAAGGCAUAUGCCAAGUCAAACUCAUGAGGUCAUAUAAGAACCAUCUGUUAACUACAUUAAAUGUUCAUAUAUUUUCUAUAAACUUGGUUAAAGUUCAUAAGAGUAUGACUUCGAAAAAAUUCUUAUAUGCAGUAUAAGUUGGUAAGGAGGCCGUUCUAGAGUAUUAAGAACAUUCAAUAUUUUCCAAAUAAGUUAAUGGUGGCAAGAAGGUAUUAUCAUGCAUAUGUGCAGUGACUCCAUGCAUUCUACUCCCUCUGUUCCGAUUUACUCAUCGUGGUUUUAGUUCACAAAGUAGAUACUAAAUCACACAAAAACUUGGAAAAAGAAUAAUCAGUAAUAGGAUAAUGAAAACUUAUCAUUUUGCUAAAAAAUAUUGUUGUUUCUUUUUUGGAAAUAUGCACUGAAGCACUUCCUCUUGCAUAUCUGUACAUGUUAGACAAAAAACUAAAAGCAAGUGAGCCAAGAACACAUGUAAGUGGUAGUUACCUUGUACUCCCUCCGUUCCUAAAUAAUUGUCUUUCUAGAGAUUUCAACAAGUGACUACAUACGGAGCAAAAUGAGUGAAUCUACACUCUAAAACAUGUCUACAUACAUCCGUAUGUUGUAGUUCAUUUGAGAUGGCUAGAAAGACAAUUAUUUGGGAACGGAGGGAGUAGAAGCUACUGAUAGUAUGCAUGAACUACGGGAGGUGGAGCAGCUGAUCAACAGCCAAAUCUAGUGAAUCAACGAUCUUCCGCAUAAUCUUUCUUCCAGGAAUUAAGAUACAACAUAGUUCCAAGAGGAGCAAUGCAAAGAUGUUAUGAAACUAAGUAAUUUAAUCAUAUUAAAAUGAUCUUUCACCAGUUGUACAACACGGAGGCAGAACUAUAUGUUAUCAGCAACUAACAAAAGGAUACAGCUGCAUACUUAGGCUUUCCAAGCCUCGCAUUUCCUCAUUUAACCUGCAACAUACAUCAUAUUAUGCUCCAGAAAGCAGUUGCAAGAGAGACAAAAUGAACUGAAACAAUACAAAUGCAUAGAAACAGCACACGAUUUUGGAAAGAACAAAAUACAUCCGUUGUCUAAGAAGCUUUUUCUGCUCUAUGGAACUGCAACAUUUUGAUGUGAUGAAAGGAAUUCCUGAAAGCAAACUUGAUUUUGAG
rnacentral:lncRNA from 1 species